rnacentral:tRNA from 1 species
UAGAGUUUAGUUGAAAAACAACAUUAAAUUGCAAGUUUAAAAGUAUAAAUUUAAUUCUAU